AUUAGCAUAAAGAUCUGAAAAAGAUGAAGAAAUCAGGAGGAUUUAGGAGGAAGGUCUCACCAGGUGGUAAGAAGAACAAAGACAGAAGCCUGUCGGUGAGUGCUCUCCUGACACAUCGGAGGAGGAGGCAAGACAACUGAGAGCAAAAGGAGCCAGAAUAGAAUUCUCAUCUUUUAGCAGGAAAGGAGAAAGACCUCAGGUUGGCUGCCGCACAGGCCAGAGGGAUUUCACCUCCAACUGAGAGAAUGAGCACCUGCCCCUUGCUGUCUCCCCAAAAACGUGCAGCUCUCCCAAGCUCUCUCUGGGAGCUAUAGGGCCAGCCCCCUUUGGCCCUACAACCACAUUCAAUGCUGUGACUGGGACAGACGGAAAUGAGCAGCAAUUCUAUUUGCCAUCAGGUGACUCCAAGUGUAUUUGAAGGCGAUUCAGAAAGGAG